rnacentral:rRNA from 1 species
AAUAGAUACCCGGGUAGUCCACGCCGUAAACGAUGGAUGCUAGCUGUUAUGCGUAUCGACCCGUGUAGUAGCGAAGCUAACGCGUUAAGCAUCCCGCCUGGGGAGUACGAACGCAAGUUUAAAACUCAAAGGAAUUGACGGGGGACCCGCACAAGCGGUGGAGCGUGUUCUUUAAUUCGAGGCUAAGCGAAGAACCUUACCAGGGCUUGACAUCCUUGGAAUUUCUCCGAAAGGAGAGAGUACUUUAUUGGACCAAGUGACAGGUGCUGCAUGGCCGUCGUCAGCUCGUGUCGUGAGAUGUUUGGUUAAGUCCAUUAACGAGCGCAACCCUUAUGAAUAGUUGUAUUUUUCUAUUCAGACUGCCCCGGUAACGGGGAGGAAGGGGGGGAUGAUGUCAGGUCAGUAUUGCCCUUACGCCCUGGGCUAGAAACGCGCUACAAUGGCCGGUACAAUGCGCUGCCAACCCGGCGAGGGGGAGCAAAUCGCAUCAAACGCCGGUCCCAGUUCGGAUAAGGGGCUGAAACUCGCCUCUUUGAAGCCGGAAUCGCUAGUAAUCGUAGGUC